AUACAUGAGGUGUUUUAAAAUAUUUAUCAAAACCCCAUCUCAUUUCAUGUCUUAGGUAUUUGAUCUCUUAUAAAGUUCUCUGGUUUUAUAAAUUUACUUUGAUUUACUAGAAAGUUUUAUUUAGCUUUUAUUUAUUGUUCUUUAUAAGAAAAACCUACUUGGAGUUUAAAUUAAAGUUUAAAUCAUUGCUGGGUUUUUAGUUAUUA
rnacentral:lncRNA from 1 species